AAGUAUUGGGACUAAUGCCAUCCUCAAGGGCCAGUGGGAACUCUAAUAUUGAUUGGGUGAGAUACAAUUCCAUGGAAUUUUACCACUGAACCAGUGAAGGGCUAAUUUUGUCAUUUGUACCAGUUAACUAAUUUGGGAGGAAACAGAACAACACACUCCUGAGGGUAAAAUGGAAACUCUGAGAGUUUGGUUGGCGGCAUCUCUAUACCAUAGAAACAGAGCCUGGGAAGCAGAACAGUGAGACCCAAGAGAAAUGUUCCUGCCUAUACUUGAUUGGUUGUCACAGAAUUCCGUGGACUUUAACCAGUGAUGCACUGAUUUUGUCAUUUGUACCAGCUAACUCAUCUGGGAGGCAACAAAACAAUAUUCUCCUGAGAAUGAAGUGGACCAAGAACUGGGCUUCAUACGGAUGA
rnacentral:lncRNA from 1 species